CCUCCCAAGCCUCUCAACGAUGCUCAAAUGGGAGGG
rfam:Gordonia effusa NBRC 100432 DNA, contig: GOEFS085.